rnacentral:rRNA from 1 species
UACGUAGGGUGCAAGCGUUAAUCGGAAUUACUGGGCGUAAAGCGUGUGUAGGCGGUUCGGAAAGAAAGAUGUGAAAUCCCAGGGCUCAACCUUGGAACUGCAUUUUUAACUGCCGAGCUAGAGUAUGUCAGAGGGGGGUAGAAUUCCACGUGUAGCAGUGAAAUGCGUAGAUAUGUGGAGGAAUACCGAUGGCGAAGGCAGCCCCCUGGGAUAAUACUGACGCUCAGACACGAAAGCGUGGGGAGCAAACAGGAUUAGAUACCCUGGUAGUCCACGCCCUAAACGAUGUCAACUAGCUGUUGGGGCCGUUAGGCCUUAGUAGCGCAGCUAACGCGUGAAGUUGACCGCCUGGGGAGUACGGUCGCAAGAUUAAAACUCAAAGGAAUUGACGGGGACCCGCACAAGCGGUGGAUGAUGUGGAUUAAUUCGAUGCAACGCGAAAAACCUUACCUACCCUUGACAUGUCUGGAAUGCCGAAGAGAUUUGGCAGUGCUCGCAAGAGAACCGGAACACAGGUGCUGCAUGGCU